UAAUACUAAUAACAUUGUUCUGAACAUGUGACAAAACAUCUGGAAAUUAUAACAAAUUUUUGCAAUUAUCCAGUUACAAAUGUGAAAAAUAAUAUUUUUUUCGAUUCCUUACAUAAUUAAAAAUACUAAACAUAAAAUAAAUAUUAUUCAAACAGUGCUGGUUAUUUUAUUUGAACAUAAUAUAAGAAUAAACAAGUUGAUAUAUUAAAAAUGAUAUAAUUGUGAUAAAUAUAUAGAAAAAACGAUAACAGAUCACGAGUCUGGAAAUAGUAUUAAAGCACUCGUUAAAUUGCAACUCUAAUUGUCCAACGAAUCGUUUAAGAACGCAAUUUCUUAAUUAUCAUCGAUAAAAUGACUAACAAGAUAACAAGUAUAAUCCAAGGUGUUAGUGAAAGUCAGCUGCAACAGAUGUUUCGUUCCUUCUUCAAUGAGAGAUUUUGGAAUACCCUUCGUAAUCCAAGGGUCCUUUGAAAUCUUAUGUACCUAGUUUCAAUAAAGAAAUGAAUAGACGCGCAUUUGUGUGCACGUUUGUGAAGGCCAACAAGCCUAUUCUAAAAGAAAAGGUAACGAACUAAGACGAUAGAAAAAUUUUAAACUUGCCUAUAAAAAUAAUUCAAUGAUAAUAUCUUUAUGCAAAGAAGAAAUAUGUACGAAAAAAUAAAUAAAACUAUGUUAAUAUUUAGUUGA